rnacentral:rRNA from 1 species
UACAGAGGGUGCGAGCGUUGUCCGGAAUCACUGGGCGUAAAGGGCGCGUAGGUGGCGACCCAAGUCGAUGGUGAAAGCUCGUCGCUCAACGACGAGUCGGCCACCGAUACUGGGUUGCUCGAGCACUGUAGAGGCAGAUGGAAUUCCGGGUGUAGCGGUGGAAUGCGUAGAUAUCAAGUGGAACACCAGUGGCGAAGGCGAAUCCCUGGAAAAUACCUGACACUGAGGCACGAAAGCUAGGGGAGCAAACAGG